rnacentral:rRNA from 1 species
AUUGAACGCUGGCGGCAGGCUCAACACAUGCAAGUCGAGCGGAGAUGAGGUGCUUGCACCUUAUCUUAGCGGCGGACGGGUGAGUAAUGCUUAGGAAUCUGCCUAUUAGUGGGGGACAACAUUCCGAAAGGAAUGCUAAUACCGCAUACGUCCUACGGGAGAAAGCAGGGGAUCUUCGGACCUUGCGCUAAUAGAUGAGCCUAAGUCGGAUUAGCUAGUUGGUGGGGUAAAGGCCUACCAAGGCGACGAUCUGUAGCGGGUCUGAGAGGAUGAUCCGCCACACUGGGACUGGGACACGGCCCAGACUCCUACGGGAGGCAGCAGUGGGGAAUAUUGGACAAUGGGGGGAACCCUGAUCCAGCCAUGCCGCGUGUGUGAAGAAGGCCUUAUGGUUGUAAAGCACUUUAAGCGAGGAGGAGGCUACUGAGACUAAUACUCUUGGAUAGUGGACGUUACUCGCAGAAUAAGCACCGGCUAACUCUGUGCCAGCAGCCGCGGUAAAAC